rnacentral:rRNA from 1 species
CCCUUAGAUGUUCUGGGCCGCACGCGCGCUACACUGAUGCAUUCAACGAGCCUAUCCUUGACCGACAGGUCCGGGUAAUCUUUGAAUCUGCAUCGUGACGGGGAUAGAUUAUUGCAAUUAUUAAUCUUCAACGAGGAAUGCCUAGUAGGCGCAAGUCAUCAGCUUGCGUCGAUUACGUCCCUGCCCUUUGUACACACCGCCCGUCGCUCCUACCGAUGAGUCGUCCGGUGAAGUUCGUAGACCUCGUGAUUGCGGAUCACUGGGGGAAGCAAAAUGAACCUCGCGGUUUAGAGGAAGGAGAAGUCGUAACA